rnacentral:lncRNA from 1 species
GACAUCCAAGAGCCAACUGGCCAAAGAUGGCAUAGAAGAGCAUACGUACCCAGUUCAGUUCAGGGGACACAUUUUGUACUUCUCUUCUUGCUAUAUCUUCUCAAAUCAAUACUGCUAUUGGAUCCAAGCCAGAAGAGCCUUAAGGGCUUUGUCCCCGGAGCGUCUGAGGUCACCACUGAACCCAGGACCUGCUCUCUAGGCCCCCAGCUGCCCCGUGACAAAGAGGUCCAUUUCUCGUUUAUUUUACCCAUUCCGUUGAAUGGCAACUUUCCACCUAAGUGACAGGCUCCAGCAUGUGUGAGAACGAUCCAAAA